CUGAGAGCAAAUAUCUCCCACGUGAAGCUGGGUCUUUGCUCAUGCAAGGCCUGGUCCUGCAAGGUCCUGAGUGCUUUCAACUCCCAGGAUUCUGGAUGGCUAAAACUUCUCAUUGACUGUUGCAGGAUUGAGCUCACAGAGGUUAUAAUAGCCAGAUACAGCACCCUGGGAAGGAAGAGGAGAAAAAUGAGCAAUACAGAAUGCCGAAUCCUGGACUGAACUCAGCUGAAUGCAGAAGGGAUGGAAGAAACAAGAGUCUUUAUUGCAAAGGCCUUGCCCAAAGCUGGAGACGUUUUGAAGAGUUACAGAAUUGCAAAAAGAAUAAAGGAAAAAUGAAAAAAUGAAAAAAACCACCCCAGUUUAUUUGACUGCAUUCAGCAGCAAAAAAAAAGAAUAAAAGGACAAGGGGGGGUGAGGGGUAGGAGAAAGACCAAACAAAAUAAAU